rnacentral:siRNA from 1 species
GGCUAAGAAUUGAAAGGUCCCGCC